rnacentral:rRNA from 1 species
GAAACCAACAGGGAUUGCCUCAGUAACGGCGAGUGAAGCGGCAACAGCUCAAAUUUGAAAUCUGGCUCUCGGGCCCGAGUUGUAAUUUGCAGAGGAUGUUUCUGGCGAGGUGCCUUCCGAGUUCCCUGGAACGGGACGCCAUAGAGGGUGAGAGCCCCGUCCGGUUGGUCGCUAAGCCUAUGUGAAACUCCUUCGACGAGUCGAGUAGUUUGGGAAUGCUGCUCUAAAUGGGAGGUAUACGUCUUCUAAAGCUAAAUACCGGCCAGAGACCGAUAGCGCACAAGUAGAGUGAUCGAAAGAUGAAAAGCACUUUGAAAAGAGGGUUAAACAGUACGUGAAAUUGUUGAAAGGGAAGCGUUUAUGACCAGACUUGCGCCGGUUGAUCAUCCAUCGUUCUCGGUGGUGCACUCUGCCGGCUCAGGCCAGCAUCAGUUUGGCCUGGGGGAUAAAGGUUUCGGGAAUGUGGCCCCCUCGGGGGUGUUAUAGCCCGUUGCGCAAUACCCUGGGCCAGACUGAGGUUCGCGCUCCGCAAGGAUGCUGGCGUAAUGGUCAUCAGCGACCCGUCUUGAAACACGGACCAAGGAGUCGUCUUCGUAUGCGAGUGUUCGGGUGUCAAACCCCUACGCGUAAUGAAAGUGAACGUAGGAGAGAGCUUCGGCGCAUCUCCGACCGAUCCUGAUGUUCUCGGAUGGAUUUGAGUAAGAGCAUACGGGGCCGGACCCGAAAGAAGGUGAACUAUGCCUGUAUAGGGUGAAGCCAGAGGAAACUCUGGUGGAGGCUCGCAGCGGUUCUGACGUGCAAAUCGAUCGUCAAAUAUGGGCAUGGGGGCGAAAGACUAAUCGAACCUUCUAGUAGCUGGUUUCCGC